rnacentral:rRNA from 1 species
UACAGAGGUCCCAAGCGUUGUUCGGAUUCACUGGGCGUAAAGGGUGCGUAGGCGGUCGGGUAAGUCUGAUGUGAAAUCUCACAGCUUAACUGUGAAACUGCAUUGGAUACUAUCCGGCUCGAGGAAUGGAGGGGAGACUGGAAUACUUGGUGUAGCAGUGAAAUGCGUAGAUAUCGAGUGGAACACCAGUGGCGAAGGCGAGUCCCUGGACAACUCCUGACACUGAUGCACGAAAGCUAGGGGAGCAAACAGG